GACGAACGCUGGCGGCGUGCUUAACACAUGCAAGUCGAACGGAGUGGCGAACGGGUGAGUAACACGUGGGUGAUCUGCCUUGCACUUCGGGAUAAGCUUGGGAAACUGGGUCUACUACCGGAUAGUGCGAGAUGGGCUGGCGGCCUAUCAGCUUUUUGGUGGGGUAAUGGACUACAAAGGCGUCGACGGGUGGCCGGCCUGAGAGGGUGUACGGCCACAUGGGGACGGAGAGACGGCCCAGAGUCCGACGGGGGGCAGCAGUGGGGAAGAUUGCACAAGGGGCGGAAGUCUGAUGAAGCGACGCCGCGUGGGGGAGGAAGGCCGUCGGGUUGUAAACGCCUUUCGACAGGGACGCGGUACCUGUAUAAGAAGCACCGGCUAACUACGUGCCAGCAGCCGCGGUAAUUC
rnacentral:rRNA from 1 species